ensembl:lncRNA
AUGCUCGGUUUGAGUGAUCCAGACUCUGCUCGCGGUGCCAGUGGCGUUGGUUGCUGGUCUUGUCUUUGCUUUCCUCAGCUGUCUACAUAUUUGGCUGUAGUUCCCAGUGUGCAGAUUUUGGUCCUUAACCUGGAUAAAGGUGGUCUGGCAUAAUGUGCUGGAUAUUGCAAUCUCACCCUUCUUCAGAAGUUUUGGGAAGUGCUGUGGAUUCAUCAGAAUCAGUUUGGAAAAAUAUUAACCGCAUUUCAGAACUAAAAAAUCUGCUUUGAAAGCUAAGGGGAUUCUUAAAAUGACAUCAUGUACAUCAUAUACAAGUAAAUGUGUCUUCAGUUUCAUAUGAUUUUCGACAUGCAAUUGCGGCAUAUUUGAAACCUACUUGUUUAAAUUGAGGGCUUUUUUAUAUAUAAUUUCAUAAUUUUUCAUCAUGCCAAAGUACGGAGUACUUAUCUUGGCAAUAUAAAUAGAGUUGUACUGAUCACUUGUAAUGUAGGAUAAGAUUUUUUUAUUAUUAUUAUUUAAUCUUUUUGUAAUACAGAAGUUGUAAAUUGACUAAUGAAUAUGUAAGGCUUACUAAGAUAUUAAUAGUAAUAGAUAUGAUAAAUAUAAUAAUAUAGGCAGUAAUAAUAAAAUAACAUCUAACAAUUUAUACUGAUUUAUA